rnacentral:rRNA from 1 species
UGGGGAAUAUUGCACAAUGGGCGCAAGCCUGAUGCAGCCAUGCCGCGUGUGUGAAGAAGGCCUUCGGGUUGUAAAGCACUUUCAGCGGGGAGGAAGGCGAUAAGGUUAAUAACCUCAUCGAUUGACGUUACCCGCAGAAGAAGCACCGGCUAACUCCGUGCCAGCAGCCGCGGUAAUACGGAGGGUGCAAGCAUUAAUCGGAAUUACUGGGCGUAAAGCGCACGCAGGCGGUUUGUUAAGUCAGAUGUGAAAUCCCCGGGCUCAACCUGGGAACUGCAUCUGAUACUGGCAAGCUUGAGUCUCGUAGAGGGGGGUAGAAUUCCAGGUGUAGCGGUGAAAUGCGUAGAGAUCUGGAGGAAUACCGGUGGCGAAGGCGGCCCCCUGGACGAAGACUGACGCUCAGGUGCGAAAGCGGGGGGAGCAAACAGG